CGACCUUGUGCUUGCCAGGCAGGCUCUGUGCCACUGAGCUAAAUCCCCACCCCCUGCAUUGACUUUUAAACUUAGCGAAUUAUGUUACAUUUCUUAAUUUUAUUAUCAUCUCAGACAAUGCAAUUCACUUAUCCAUGUAAAAAGAUGUGUGUUCAUGUUAUUCAUUACAAAAUGACAGCAUUUGUGAUUUUCUGGGAAGAUGGACUUUAAGCCUUAUACACAUUUGAGAAAGAAGACUGUCCUGUGAUACCAAACCAUGUACUACUAAGUAACCAGGACUUCAUGAAGACUCUUCCUCACACCUUCUGGCAGAUAGACACAUAGCUUUCAAAAGAACUAGAAGAAGGCAAGAGUCCCUGAAAACUGUGUGAGGAUAGUCAUCAAAAGCCAGCAUCCUCAGAAUCAUGUAAAUAAAGUAUAACAGAAUGUGGAAGAUGAUUUUAUCUACUCAGAUUUUGUAGUGGAUUGAUAACUGGUGGUCAACUUAUAACCCCCAGCU